rnacentral:rRNA from 1 species
CCUACGGGAGGCAGCAGUGAGGAAUAUUGGUCAAUGGACGAGAGUCUGAACCAGCCAAGUAGCGUGAAGGAUGACUGCCCUAUGGGUUGUAAACUUCUUUUAUAAAGGAAUAAAACGAGGCACGUGUGCCUUUUUGCAUGUACUUUAUGAAUAAGGAUCGACUAACUCCGCGCCAGCAGCCGCGGUAAUACGGAGGAUCCGAGCGUUAUCCGGAUUUAUUGGGUUUAAAGGGAGCGUAGAUGGGUUGUUAAGUCAGUUGUGAAAGUUUGCGGCUCAACCGUAAAAUUGCAAUUGAUACUGGCAGUCUUGAGUACAGUUGAGGUAGGCGGAAUUCGUGGUGUAGCGGUGAAAUGCUUAGAUAUCACGAAGAACCCCGAUUGCGAAGGCAGCUUACUAAACUGUAACUGACAUUGAUGCUCGAAAGUGUGGGUAGCAAACAGGAUUAGAUACCCUAGUAGUC